UACAGAGGGUGCGAGCGUUAAUCGGAUUUACUGGGCGUAAAGCGUGCGUAGGCGGCUGAUUAAGUCGGAUGUGAAAUCCCUGAGCUUAACUUAGGAAUUGCAUUCGAUACUGGUCAGCUAGAGUAUGGGAGAGGAUGGUAGAAUUCCAGGUGUAGCGGUGAAAUGCGUAGAGAUCUGGAGGAAUACCGAUGGCGAAGGCAGCCAUCUGGCCUAAUACUGACGCUGAGGUACGAAAGCAUGGGGAGCAACAAGGAUUAGAUACCCUGGUAGUCCAUGCCGUAAACGAUGUCUACUAGCCGUUGGGGCCUUUGAGGCUUUAGUGGCGCAGCUAACGCGAUAAGUACUCCGCCUGGGAAGUACGGUCGCAAGAUUAAA
rnacentral:rRNA from 1 species